GAAAGAGGAGGAGAAGAAGCGUCUGCACUACCGCAAGAUUCUCAAAACCUUUGGGAACAGGUUAUGGGCGUUUUGUAUCCUAGCCAGUGUGGUGGGGGAAAAAGCUGAUGCUCACAGCUCUUUUGCUACCUGGAUGGUGUUUGGGAAGCUUAUCGAAUGUACGGGGGCUUGGCGUGAUCGCCAUAUGACAAGCAAUUCCAGCAGCGGGUGUUGGUUAACCCGGGCAUGCGGUGGGAACAGAUGGACCUGCCGUUGUGAAUUAAACUCAUGAUGGCGUCACCCUUUCAGUGCGGGGACGACGUGGGUAUGGCUUCCCCCUCAUCGGCCGUUCACAAGAAGGGAUUUUGCUGGCUGUUUAACAAUAGCCAGUGUAAAUGGGAGCGGUAUGUUGGUACAAACAGGAAUGUUCCGGGUGCAGGGGCGCGCAUGGACUCAAUCAUUGUUUUAAGCUAGGUAAGGCAGCUGCCAC